AUCUUUGUAAUUCAGUCUUCCAAAAUUUAAAAUUAAAUUUUUAUUUUUAAAUUUUAAUAUUAUAUUUUUAAAUUUUAAGAAAUCUUCUAAGAGGCAUUGAAAUCGGAACAUUUGGUAUUUUGAUUGAAUAUGCAAGAAAUCUCCGGAUACUCUAUAAAAGUGGCUUUCGAGAGACGAAAGUGUCAUAAUUAUGUGGAUUUUACUUGGUAUAGUCUAAUGAUAUAGGAAAGAGCCAUAGCGAUUGUUUUCUUGUGCCGUUUCUGAAAAUAUGCAGAAUGAACAUUUAAUUUGGAAAGUUUCUGAGGUUUAACUAACCUUAGAGAUCAUUAAACUGUCUCACUCAUACCAAGAAGUUUGUUUUGGAUUCAUCCGAUUUUUCACUCAUUUAAAAGAAUGCAACCUCACAGAAAUGAUCAGCGAAACAAAUCCUGCAGUUAUUAGAGCAGCUCUGUAGACUCUUCAGAUGUUUGUUGGAGCAAUGAAACAACGCUUUUCCCCAUAUGUGGAAUGACUGUCUUCUCAGCUCGGGACAAAAAUUGUAUUGAUAGCAGGCAUCUGGAUGGCCAGGGGACUCUCGGUUCCGCACAGAAGUAAUAUCGGCAAGUUGUCCACCCUAUGGAAAAACUGUGUCUAUACCGUUUUGUUGGGAAAGGGCAUGACGUCAAUCACAAAUACUGUUUCCUCAAUUCCAUGUACAUGCUAUCCAUCUGCACCAGUGCUGGGUGCGGGAAAGUAUUUAAGAUGACAUCAAAGCACAAGAAAUUCAAGGAUACGAUGUUGAAAGGUUUUGAAGCAAGUGAUCAUGGCACAACAGAUAAUAUGGAGCUUCAACAAGCGCAUAUUAGAAUUCGGAUCCUAUGGAAUCCAAUAAACCUUUGGUCUGCUAGUCGGAUGAUUUAUAAAGCCCUGAAACAUUGGAUUAAGCUUAAUGUAUCAACUUUGUACAAAAAAAAAUUACUGUAAUUUUAAAAAUGUUCUGCACAGUGGAUUGAAAGUGAAAUAAAUGUUUAUAAUCCCUGUAUAUUCCAGGAAAGUGGCUACUAAGUGACGAGUCUGGAUUACGUUGAUUUCUCAUAGUCUGAGGUAGUUGGAAAACCAUGGCCAUUACUACUUGCUGUUUUCAAGAGAUGAACAGAAAAAAAGAGAAUUUCAGUUUUUAGAGUAAUAUAGCAAGAACUUUGGAGAUAUCAAUUUAAACUCUUCACUUAUACCUGAAAGUAUUCUGAAGGAAUUCUUCGUGUUCACUCAUGAUGGAACGUCUUAUGAAUCGAAAGAAGCAGAAUUUCCUGCAAUUGAUAUUGGAGCAGCGCAUUCUGCAAAGAUUAGAUUAGAGGCAAUUUAAUUGAACAACGGCUUAAUCCCACUGAUCUGUGCAGUGAACACCAUUUAGUCUCCAGCCGCAAAUUCUUAAUAUGGGAGAUGUCUGGAUUGGAGGAAAAAAUGGUACUGAAGUGAUACCGAUGUCUACAUAUUUCAACCUAAGUGAUCAUGGCACAAGAUACCAUUUGGAGCCUUCAACCUUGCAAUUCAGAGCUUUUUCAAUGGAAUUAUGAAUGGAGAUCGAAUGUAUGCAGUUGAGUUUGUAAAAUUCCUUCUUGCUUCGCCUAAACUUAUUAGUUCCAUAAAAUGAAUACAUAAAUGGUUUUCACAAUGGAAAUGUGACUAUGUAUGUAGUCAACAUUACUUGAUGAUAUCAAUACAUCUUUGAAAUGUUCUAUUCUAAGAGCAAGAUACUGAUUAUUUAUACAAUUUUUUUCGAAAUUCGCAAAGCUUGAAAUGUGCAAAAUAUCCGUUUCAAAAGAACUGUCUGGCAAUUCAAUCAAUAUUUCAUCUUAAAAUUGUCGGGAAACUUUUAUUCUUGUACCAACUGGAAAAUAUUGAUCUUCAUUCAUUCCCUUCAAAAGUAGUACUUGUUUUUUAAAUAUUUGUUUUUAAAAUGCUUAUUCCUCAAUCUACAUUGGUAAAAUGUUUAUUAAUAUGGGGUAACUUAAGCUCUGGUAGUAUAUUUAAAUUUGCUAGUAAUCUGAACCAAAUUUCCAACAAGACUGAAUGUUCUAUUUACAUUUCAUAUCAAAUUCGGAUUAAAACUUCUGUGGCUAUUAAUCUCUUAUUGGAGCUCAACAAUUUGACAGAGUUCUCAUUAACCCUGCAGUAUAGACGGGAAUUACAAUUGUUAUUAUGAAGUAAAAAAAUUCAUUUGCGUAUUGCAUUACUUUAUCAUUGUGAGGGGAAAAUGAAUCUUUUCGCCCUUAGAUUUGUCGG